GCCACUUACUCCCUCUUGUGACGAUGUCAUGAUUUUCGAUGUCGAAGGUGUUCCACAGGGACCUGUAGAAGUGGGAGUGCCCACACCUGGUGUUCCACAGGGACCUGUAGAAGUGGGAGUGCCCACACCUGGCAA